AUAACACUUGGAAACAGGUGCUAAUACCGCAUAACCAUGAACACCGCAUGAUGUUCAUGUAAAAGACGGCUUUUGCUGUCACUUUUGGAUGGGCCUGCGGCGUAUUAACUUGUUGGUGGGGUAACGGCCUACCAAGGUGAUGAUACGUAGCCGAACUGAGAGGUUGAUCGGCCACAUUGGGACUGAGACACGGCCCAAACUCCUACGGGAGGCAGCAGUAGGGAAUCUUCCACAAUGGACGAAAGUCUGAUGGAGCAACGCCGCGUGAAUGAAGAAGGCCUCCGGUCGUAAAAUUCUGUUGUCAGAGAAGAACGUGCGUGAGAGUAACUGUUCACGUAUUGACGGUAUCUGACCAGAAAGCCACGGCUAACUACGUGCCAGCAGCCGCGGUAAUACGUAGGUGGCGAGCGUUGUCCGGAUUUAUUGGGCGUAAAGGGAACGCAGGCGGUCUUUUAAGUCUGAUGUGAAAGCCUUCGGCUUAACCGAAGUAGUGCAUUGGAAACUGGAAGACUUGAGUGCAGAAGAGGAGAGUGGAACUCCAUGUGUAGCGGUGAAAUGCGUAGAUAUAUGGAAGAACACCAGUGGCGAAAGCGGCUCUCUGGUCUGUAACUGACGCUGAGGUUCGAAAGCGUGGGUAGCAAACAGGAUUAGAUACCCUGGUAGUCCACGCCGUAAACGAUGAGUGCUAAGUGUUGGAGGGUUUCCGCCCUUCAGUGCUGCAGCUAACGCAUUAAGCACUCCGCCUGGGGAGUACGGUCGCAAGACUGAAACUCAAAGGAAUUGACGGGGGCCCGCACAAGCGGUGGAGCAUGUGGUUUAAUUCGAAGCAACGCGAAGAACCUUACCAGGUCUUGACAUCUUCUGACAAUUCCAGAGAUGGAACGUUCCCUUCGGGGACAGAAUGACAGGUGGUGCAUGGUUGUCGUCAGCUCGUGUCGUGAGAUGUUGGGUUAAGUCCCGCAACGAGCGCAACCCUUAUUGUCAGUUGCCAUCAUUAAGUUGGGCACUCUGGCGAGACUGCCGGUGACAAACCGGAGGAAGGUGGGGAUGACGUCAAAUCAUCAUGCCCCUUAUGACCUGGGCUACACACGUGCUACAAUGGACGGUACAACGAGUCGCUAACUCGCGAGGGCAAGCUAAUCUCUUAAAGCCGUUCUCAGUUCGGAUUGCAGGCUGCAACUCGCCUGCAUGAAGUCGGAAUCGCUAGUAAUCGCGAAUCAGCAUGUCGCGGUGAAUACGUUCCCGGGCCUUGUACACACCGCCCGUCACACCAUGAGAGUUUGUAACACCCAAAGUCGGUGGGGUAACCUUUUGGAGCCAGCCGCCUAAGGUGGGACAGAUGAUUGGGGUGAAGUCGUAACAAGGUA
rnacentral:rRNA from 1 species